UGGGCGAUGCCUGAUGCAGCGACGCCGCGUGAGGGAUGACGGCCUUCGGGUUGUAAACCUCUUUCAGCAGGGAAGAAGCCACAAGUGACGGUACCUGCAGAAGAAGCGCCGGCUAACUACGUGCCAGCAGCCGCGGUAAUACGUAGGGCGCAAGCGUUGUCCGGAAUUAUUGGGCGUAAAGAGCUCGUAGGCGGUUUGUCGCGUCUGCUGUGAAAGCCCGGGGCUUAACCCCGGGUGUGCAGUGGGUACGGGCAGACUAGAGUGCAGUAGGGGAGACUGGAAUUCCUGGUGUAGCGGUGGAAUGCGCAGAUAUCAGGAGGAACACCGAUGGCGAAGGCAGGUCUCUGGGCUGUUACUGACGCUGAGGAGCGAAAGCAUGGGGAGCGAACAGGAUUAGAUACCCUGGUAGUCCAUGCCGUAAACGUUGGGCACUAGGUGUGGGGGACAUUCCACGUUUUCCGCGCCGUAGCUAACGCAUUAAGUGCCCCGCCUGGGGAGUACGGCCGCAAGGCUAAAACUCAAAGGAAUUGACGGGGGCCCGCACAAGCGGCGGAGCAUGCGGAUUAAUUCGAUGCAACGCGAAGAACCUUACCAAGGCUUGACAUAUACCGGAUCGUUCCAGAGAUGGUUCUUCCCCUUUGGGGUCGGUAUACAGGUGGUGCAUGGUUGUCGUCAGCUCGUGUCGUGAGAUGUUGGGUUAAGUCCCGCAACGAGCGCAACCCUCGUUCCAUGUUGCCAGCACGUGAUGGUGGGGACUCAUGGGAGACUGCCGGGGUCAACUCGGAGGAAGGUGGGGAUGACGUCAAAUCAUCAUGCCCCUUA
rnacentral:rRNA from 1 species